rnacentral:lncRNA from 1 species
AGCAGGACAGAGACACCAGCCCUGGGAAGCCACUAGGAUUUCUGCAGAGGGCCGUUUCCACAUCAGAAAACUGGGAACCCUUUGUGCACAUAACGCUUGACACGAAGAAGGACCUCGGAGCCAAGUGGGAACCAACACUGUUUAAAGCUGGCAGUGAGGUGUGCGGGCUCAUCUGUGGCCAAGUGCCCAGGAAAGAGAGGCAGCCCAGUAGAUCGUGCUUCCCGUGAGGGAGACUCGCUGCUGCCAAUGACAGACUCAAAACAUCGUGACCCGGCCACAGGAUCAUGGAGCUCUUCGCUCAUCGCUGUGGGUGCCGGGACGUUGCAUGUUUUUUCCCUUGCAGAGGCCAUCGCUGUGGGCGCCAGGACAUCUGUCCUUUGUGGGCAUGUUGAGGCUUCUCUGUGAAGGACCCACAUGAGGUGGAUCUGGAGCCAGCAGCCCUCCUGUGAGAACACUGGCCUGAGCCCCUCAAGCCGCCCCUCGUCUCUGAAUGGGGGUCAUUUUGGCCCUUGGUGGGCAGCUUCUUGGGAGAUGGUUUGGAAAUGGAGAUACUUUGUUGAAUAAACGAUUAUACUACAACUUCUGCUAUCUUCAGACAUACAUGGAAAUGCACCGCACAGAUCACACUGAUGUGGACACGCCCACCUCCUGCCAGCUGCUCGUGGUCAUGAUGUGGAUGAGGAGCUGAGUCACGAUGUGGACGAGGAGCUGAGUCGCGAUGUGGACGAGGAGCUGAGUCGCGAUGUGGACGAGGAGCUGAGUCCCGAUGUGGACGAGGAGCUGAGUCGCGAUGUGGAUGAGGAGCUGAGUCUUCUUUUACCCCUUUAAAGGGGGAAUGUGGGUUUCAGGAACACGUCAGCUUGGAGUCAUUUCUGUGUCUGAAUCUGCUUCAUACACACGUCUCCAAAUACUUAAAAUGAUUGAAAAAACCUUUGAAUAAAAGCUUGGGAAUUUCAUCUUG